GAUGAACGCUGGCGGCGUGCCUAAUACAUGCAAGUCGAGCGAACAGAUGAGGAGCUUGCUCCUCUGACGUUAGCGGCGGACGGGUGAGUAACACGUGGAUAACCUACCUAUAAGACUGGGAUAACUUCGGGAAACCGGAGCUAAUACCGGAUAAUAUAUUGAACCGCAUGGUUCAAUAGUGAAAGACGGUCUUGCUGUCACUUAUAGAUGGAUCCGCGCCGCAUUAGCUAGUUGGUAAGGUAACGGCUUACCAAGGCAACGAUGCGUAGCCGACCUGAGAGGGUGAUCGGCCACACUGGAACUGAGACACGGUCAAGACUCCUACGGGAGGCAGCAGUAGGGAAUCUUCCGCAAUGGGCGAAAGCCUGACGGAGCAACGCCGCGUGAGUGAUGAAGGUCUUCGGAUCGUAAAACUCUGUUAUUAGGGAAGAACAAAUGUGUAAGUAACUAUGCACGUCUUGACGGUACCUAAUCAGAAAGCCACGGCUAACUACGUG
rnacentral:rRNA from 1 species